GCAAUUUCAGGCACUUUUAACUCUCUUUCCAAAGAACUUUUCAUCUUUCCCUCACGGUACUUGUUUGCUAUCGGUCUCGCGCCAGUACUUAGCUUUAUGUGAAACCUACCACACAUUUUGCGCUCAAAUCCCGAUGAACGCGACUCUAUAAAAGCGUACCGUACGUGGAACAAAAAACGCAGGGGAAGGACGGGAUUCUCACCCUCUAUGAUGUUCUUUCCCAAGAAACUUAACCCUGCGCUUCCACUGGUAACGCCUCUCGAGGCUACAAGUCAACAGCUCGGAAAGAGCAGUUGAUUUCCACUUUGAGCUGAUCCCGGUUCACUCGCCGUUACUAAGGGAAUCAUAGUUAUUUUCUUCUCCUCCGCUUAAUAAUAUGCUUAAGUUCAGCGGGUAACCUCGCCUGAUUUCAGGUCUG